GACGAACGCUGGCGGCGUGCUUAACACAUGCAAGUCGAACGGAAAGGCCCUGCUUUUGUGGGGUGCUCGAGUGGCGAACGGGUGAGUAACACGUGAGUAACCUGCCCUUGACUUUGGGAUAACUUCAGGUAACUGGGGCUAAUACCGGAUAGGAGCUCCUGCUGCAUGGUGGGGGUUGGAAAGUUUCGGCGGUUGGGGAUGGACUCGCGGCUUAUCAGCUUGUUGGUGGGGUAGUGGCUUACCAAGGCUUUGACGGGUAGCCGGCCUGAGAGGGUGACCGGCCACAUUGGGACUGAGAUACGGCCCAGACUCCGACGGGGGGCAGCAGUGGGGAAUAUUGCACAAUGGGCGGAAGCCUGAUGCAGCAACGCCGCGUGCGGGAUGACGGCCUUCGGGUUGUAAGCCGCUUGCGCCUGUGACGAAGCGUGAGUGACGGUAAUGGGUAAAGAAGCACCGGCUAACUACGUG
rnacentral:rRNA from 1 species